rnacentral:rRNA from 1 species
UACGAAGGGGGCUAGCGUUGUUCGGAAUUACUGGGCGUAAAGCGUAUGUAGGCGGAUCGUUAAGUCGGGGGUGAAAUCCCGAGGCUCAACCUCGGAACUGCCUUCGAUACUGGCGAUCUUGAGUCCGGGAGAGGUGAGUGGAACUCCGAGUGUAGAGGUGAAAUUCGUAGAUAUUCGGAAGAACACCAGUGGCGAAGGCGACUUACUGGACACAUAUUGACGCUGAGGUGCGAAAGCGUGGGGAGCAAACAGG